GAUGAAGAACGCAGCGAAAUGCGAUACGUAAUGUGAAUUGCAGAAUUCAGUGAAUCAUCGAAUCUUUGAACGCAUAUUGCGCUCUCUGGUAUUCCGGAGAGCAUGCUUGUUUGAGUAUCAGUAAACACCUCAACUUCCAUAUCUUUUUUGAAAUGGGAGUUGGACUUGAGUGAUCCCAACGCUUUUCCUCACCGAAAAGUGGCGGGUUACUUGAAAUGCAGGUGCAGCUGGACUUUUCUCUGAGCUAUAAGCAUAUCUAUUUAGUCUGCCUAAAAAACAGAUUAUUACCUUUGCUGCAGCUAACAUAAAGGAGAUUAGUUCUUGUGCUGACUGAUGCAGGAUUCACAAAGACGGCUUCGGCCGACUUUGUAAACUCGAUCUCAAAUCAAGUAAGACUACCCGCUGAACUUAAGCAUACAAUAGCGGAGGA
rnacentral:misc_RNA from 1 species